AUUGAACGCUGGCGGCAUGCCUUACACAUGCAAGUCGAACGGCAGCACGGGGGCGAACCCUGGUGGCGAGUGGCGAACGGGUGAGUAAUACAUCGGAACGUGCCCGGUAGUGGGGGAGUAGCUCGGCGAAAGCCGGAUUAAUACCGCAUACGACCCACGGGUGAAAGCGGGGAGUCGCAAGACCUCGCGCUAGCGGAGCGGCCGAUGUCAGAUUAGGUUGUUGGUGGGGUAAAGGCCUACCAAGCCGACGAUCUGUAGCUGGUCUGAGAGGACGACCAGCCACACUGGGACUGAGACACGGCCCAGACUCCUACGGGAGGCAGCAGUGGGGAAUUUUGGUACAAUGGGCGCAAGCCUGAUCCAGCCAUG
rnacentral:rRNA from 1 species